AUGCCAAGCAGGGGUAUCGGGAAGGAAUUUAGCGAACAAGCUAUAGCACUUGAGAAUGAAGGGGGGAAAAAGCCACAACUGGAUGAUAGCAAGCCUGGGCUUACGUCGGGAAAAAGAGCGCUGCCUAUUCAUGUUCAGAAUGAAGAUCGAGUGAAGGCCUUUGAAAAAUGCAAAAGCUUCAGGAGCCAGGAGAAAGGAAAGAAUAGUUACUUCCUGGGAGGAGGCGUAGGUGAUAGGAAGCUAAUCAAGGACAGGCUGAGGAUUCGAACAGCUUUAAGAGAGAAGAGUAAGGGGGACCUUCAAGGAAGAAGUGAGAUAAGCUAG